rnacentral:lncRNA from 1 species
CAUAGAUGUCCAAGAGUUGGACAUGAUUAAAUUAGAUUUGAUCUAAUUUAUUUUCAUGGUCCAUAAGAUGGAUGGUUCUUCUCUACUUUUUCUAAAUCUAGUCCAAGGGUUAGAUAAGAAAGGAAGAAGAAAGUGAUUUGAUCUAUUGUCUUCCUUAGUAGAUCUUUAAUUUUCUCUUAAGAAGAAAAAAUAAAAAAAAAUAGAUAUGAUUUGAUUUCAAUAUCCCCCUAUAGAUCUGGUUAAUUC